rnacentral:rRNA from 1 species
GACGAACGCUGGCGGCGUGCUUAACACAUGCAAGUCGAACGGAAAGGCCCUGCUUUUGUGGGGUGCUCGAGUGGCGAACGGGUGAGUAACACGUGAGUAACCUGCCCUUGACUUUGGGAUAACUUCAGGAAACUGGGGCUAAUACCGGAUAGGAGCUCCUGCUGCAUGGUGGGGGUUGGAAAGUUUCGGCGGUUGGGGAUGGACUCGCGGCUUAUCAGCUUGUUGGUGGGGUAGUGGCUUACCAAGGCUUUGACGGGUAGCCGGCCUGAGAGGGUGACCGGCCACAUUGGGACUGAGAUACGGCCCAGACUCCUACGGGAGGCAGCAGUGGGGAAUAUUGCACAAUGGGCGGAAGCCUAAUGCAGCAACGCCGCGUGCGGGAUGACGGCCUUCGGGUUGUAAACCGCCUUCGCCUGUGACGAAGCGUGAGUGACGGUAAUGGGUAAAGAAGCACCGGCUAACUACGUG